rnacentral:misc_RNA from 1 species
UCUCCGUAGGUGAACCUGCGGAGGGAUCAUUACAAGGACGCCCGGGCUACGGCCUGGUUAUUCAUAACCCUUUGUUGUCCGACUCUGUUGCCUCCGGGGCGACCCUGCCUUCGGGCGGGGGCUCCGGGUGGACACUUCAAACUCUUGCGUAACUUUGCAGUCUGAGUAAACUUAAUUAAUAAAUUAAAACUUUUAACAACGGAUCUCUUGGUUCUG